rnacentral:rRNA from 1 species
UUCUUCUCCGUAGGUGAACCUGCGGAAGGAUCAUUAU